UCGUUAGAAGCACAAUGAGACAAAACAAAUAUUAACUCCAAAUAAUAUUCAGCUAUUUUCCCUUCUUUAGAACACCGAUCUCAGCAGCAAUUGUCAGUGAAGUUAUACAUAACCUUGACCUACAAUACAAAACCUGGAUACUGGAACACUGACUACAAACGGAAACCCUGUCAUUCUUUAUGCACUUUGAAAUCCCGUUUACAAGAAAUGGCAACGCAAUCUGCCUUCCAAGCUGACCAAAACAGAGCAUGAGGUGUACAGACCAUGAAUUAAACAA